rnacentral:misc_RNA from 1 species
CCCAUUGGGCUGUUUGGUACUUGAGCUUACUUGCCAAAACCCUUUGCAUUAAGCAAGUUGAAAUUUAGUAGCAAUGCCUCCUUGGUAGUAGCCACUACCAUGCAGUAGGAAUGAUAAAUAGGUCAAACCGGCAAUUUACAGCCGAGGGAAUUUAAUAUUUUGUUAACAGAUUAAAUUCUCCCAACUAUGGACUAUUUGACAUUGGAAUUUGAAAAAAAAGCUAACCCCUAUAAGCAAAGAGAAAAUUCCAAUGGAAGGGAAAAUAAAACUACAAAUGCACUAACCUUUAAUCAAUUGCUUCUUAUGAUUGAGAGUGCUGCUCCUCAAUUAAAGUUUGAACU